AUUGAACGCUGGCGGCAGGCCUAACACAUGCAAGUCGAGCGGGGUUUUCGGACCUAGCGGCGGACGGGUGAGUAAUGCGUAGGAAGCUGCCCGAUAGAGGGGGAUACCAGUUGGAAACGACUGUUAAUACCGCAUAAUGUCUACGGACCAAAGUGUGGGACCUUCGGGCCACAUGCUAUCGGAUGCGCCUACGUGGGAUUAGCUAGUUGGUGAGGUAAUGGCUCACCAAGGCGACGAUCUCUAGCUGGUUUGAGAGGAUGAUCAGCCACACUGGAACUGAGACACGGUCCGGACUCCUACGGGAGGCAGCAGUGGGGAAUAUUGGACAGUGGGCGCAAGCCUGAUCCAGCCAUGCCGCGUGUGUGAAGAAGGCCUUCGGGUUGUAAAGCACUUUCAGCGAGGAGGAAGGGGUUGUAGUUAAUAGCUGCAACCUUUGACGUUACUCGCAGAAGAAGCACCGGCUAACUCUGUGCCAGCAGCCGCCGUAAUAC
rnacentral:rRNA from 1 species